rnacentral:rRNA from 1 species
ACGGAAGGCAGCAGUGGGGAAUAUUGCACAAUGGGGGAAACCCUGAUGCAGCAACGCCGCGUGAGUGAAGAAGUAUUUCGGUAUGUAAAGCUCUAUCAGCAGGGAAGAAAAUGACGGUACCUGACUAAGAAGCCCCGGCUAACUACGUGCCAGCAGCCGCGGUAAUACGUAGGGGGCAAGCGUUAUCCGGAUUUACUGGGUGUAAAGGGAGCGUAGACGGCGAAGCAAGUCUGAAGUGAAAGCCCACGGCUCAACCGUGGAACUGCUUUGGAAACUGUUUUGCUAGAGUGCAGGAGGGGCAGGCGGAAUUCCUAGUGUAGCGGUGAAAUGCGUAGAUAUUAGGAGGAACACCAGUGGCGAAGGCGGCUUACUGGACUGUAACUGACGUUGAGGCUCGAAAGCGUGGGGAGCAAACAGGAUUAGAUACCCUGGUA